rnacentral:rRNA from 1 species
CCUACGGGAGGCAGCAGUGGGGAAUAUUGCACAAUGGGGGAAACCCUGAUGCAGCGACGCCGCGUGAGUGAAGAAGUAUUUCGGUACGUAAAGCUCUAUCAGCAGGGAAGAAAAUGACGGUACCUGACUAAGAAGCCCCGGCUAACUACGUGCCAGCAGCCGCGGUAAUACGUAGGGGGCAGGCGUUAUCCGGAUUUACUGGGUGUAAAGGGAGCGUAGACGGCAGCGCAAGUCUGGAGUGAAAUCCCAUGGCUUAACCAUGGAACUGCUUUGGAAACUGUGCAGCUAGAGUGCAGGAGAGGUAAGCGGAAUUCCUAGUGUAGCGGUGAAAUGCGUAGAUAUUAGGAGGAACACCAGUGGCGAAGGCGGCUUACUGGACUGUAACUGACGUUGAGGCUCGAAAGCGUGGGGAGCAAACAGGAUUAGAUACCCUAGUAGUC